rnacentral:miRNA from 1 species
AAGAUAACAUUGAAUUCCUGGUGCUGGAAUGUAGCUCAGUGGUAGGGUGUUUUGCCUAGCAUGUGCUCAUGGGGCCCCGGGUUCGUUCCCUCACACCAAGAAUAGGGACCACUAAAACAGUGU